rnacentral:lncRNA from 1 species
UAGCUUUAGAGCAUCAAUAGGGCAAGUCUCUUGCUUUGGGGGUGGAGGUGGGCAUGGCACUGGAGGUGGCGGAGGAGGGCAUGGUGUUUCAGUUGGCGGUGGCUUCACAACAGGAGGCUUUGGUGGUAGAGUUGGCGGUGCUGGUGUUACCGGCGGCGUAGGAUAAUACGGUGGUGUAGGGGUAACAGGAGGCUUUGGUGGUAGAGUCGGAGGCUUGAUCACCGGUGGUUUUGGUGUCGGUGUUACCGGAGGGGUAGGAUAAGGCGGCGGAGUUGGGGUAACAGGAGGCUUUGGUGGUAAAGUUGGUGGGGAAAUGAUUGGUGGUUUGGGUACAUAAGGUGGUGGCUUUACAGUAGGAGGCUUUGGUGGUAAAGUUGGUGGGGAAAUGAUUGGUGGUUUGGGUACAUAAGGUGGUGGCUUUACAGUAGGAGGUUUUGGUAUAUGGGGUGGAUAUACAAUUGGAGGCUUGACAACCGGUGGUUUGGGUACGGUUGGUGGUUUGACAACGGGUGGUUUGGGUACAUAAGGUGGCGGCUUUACAGUAGGAGGUUUUGGUACAUGGGGUGGAUAUACAAUUGGAGGCUUGACAACCGGUGGUUUUGGUACGGUUGGUGGUUUGACAACGGGUGGUUUGGGAACCACCGGAGGUUUGGGUGGCUUAGGUGGGUAGUGUUUGGGAGGUUUAUGGUGAGAGGGUGGCUUUACCUUAGGAGGGUGUUUGGGUGGGAACUUAGGAGGAUGCUUCGGUGAAGGUGGAGUUGG